rnacentral:lncRNA from 1 species
UGUCUGAUAUGGGGUGGAGGGGAGGUUCCAGGCCAGAGGUAGGAUGUGGGCCAGAGUUGGUGGCGAGAUAGACCAGGUCGAGGUGCAGUGAGAAGAUUAGCAUUAGAGGAACUGUGUGGCCUGGGUUGUAGUAGGAGAGAAGCGAGCUGAGGUAGAAAAGGACAAGGUGAUGGAGUGCUUUAAAGCCAAUCGUGAGUUUUUGUUUGCUGCGGCAGUGGUUGGGCAAGCACUGGAGUUUCUUGAGGAAUGGGGAAACAUAGGCUGAACGUUUUUGAAGAAAAAUGGACAGCAACACUGAGCUGCAGACUGACUGAACUCUUCUUGAGGCAAGACUGUUCUUCCUGAGGGCAGGUAAUGUGUGUCUUACUACUGCUGUUCCCUCCCAAGUGCUUAAAACAGUACUUACAGCUUAGUAAGCAUUCAAAAAAUACCCCUGGUUGAAACAUUGUGUUUCUGUUCUUUUUUACAGAAAUAAAAAGAAAUGGUUGCCUGGUUGAAACACUGUGCCUCUGUUCUUUUUCAAAGAAAGAAAAAGAAAUGAAGACAUCCAUCGAGGCCUGCCUUUUCUGUGCGUUUUCAGACCAAAUGACGUUCUUCUGAUUUAAAUAUCCUACUACCCAAAGCCUGACAAUAUCGAAACGGUCACAGCAGUGCUCUGUGCUCAAGAUAGGAUUAAGUUAAGGCAUUUUUAGCUCCUGUAGCUCUAUAUUUUGCCACAGUGGGGAAAUAGCUCCUCGGAGGUCAUUUCUAGUUGGAAGUAUGCCACGUACAGCGGGCAACUUUAGAAGGGACAUUGUCUAAUUGCAGAGAGGGCAAGAGACCAGAGCUUAUACUUAGACACAGAAAGUUAAUCCUAGCCCUGGAAAGAUUAGUCAGUUGGGCGACCAAGAUGAGGAGUGGC